rnacentral:rRNA from 1 species
AGGAAAACGUAGUAACCAACCCUUUAGACUGGGAUAGCCACUGGAAACGGUGGGUAAUACCGGAUAAGCUCGAGAGAGGAAAGGCAGAGAAGCGCUAAAGGACGGAACUGCGCCCCAUCAGAUAGUUGGUGAGGUAAAGGCUUACCAAGGCGACGACGGGUAGCCGGUCUGAGAGGAUGUACGGCCACACUGGGACUGAGAUACGGCCCAGACUCCUACGGGAGGCAGCAGUUGGGAAUCUUAGGCA